rnacentral:rRNA from 1 species
UCGAUUCCCUUAGUAGCGGCGAGCGAAACGGGAAGAGCCCAAACCAACAAGCUUGCUUGUUGGGGUUGUAGGACACUCUAUACGGAGUUACAAAGGACGACAUUAGACGAAUCAUCUGGAAAGAUGAAUCAAAGAAGGUAAUAAUCCUGUAGUCGAAAAUGUUGUCUCUCUUGAGUGGAUCCUGAGUACGACGGAGCACGUGAAAUUCCGUCGGAAUCUGGGAGGACCAUCUCCUAAGGCUAAAUACUCUCUAGUGACCGAUAGUGAACCAGUACCGUGAGGGAAAGGUGAAAAGCACCCCGGAAGGGGAGUGAAAUAGAACCUGAAACCGUGUGCUUACAAGUAGUCAGAGCCCGUUAAUGGGUGAUGGCGUGCCUUUUGUAGAAUGAACCGGCGAGUUACGAUUUGAUGCAAGGUUAAGCAGUAAAUGUGGAGCCGUAGCGAAAGCGAGUCUGAAUAGGGCGUUUAGUAUUUGGUCGUAGACCCGAAACCAGGUGAUCUACCCUUGGUCAGGUUGAAGUUCAGGUAACACUGAAUGGAGGACCGAACCGACUUACGUUGAAAAGUGAGCGGAUGAACUGAGGGUAGCGGAGAAAUUCCAAUCGAACCUGGAGAUAGCUGGUUCUCUCCGAAAUAGCUUUAGGGCUAGCCUCAAGUGAUGAUUAUUGGAGGUAGAGCACUGUUUGGACGAGGGGCCCCUCUCGGGUUACCGAAUUCAGACAAACUCCGAAUGCCAAUUAAUUUAACUUGGGAGUCAGAACAUGGGUGAUAAGGUCCGUGUUCGAAAGGGAAACAGCCCAGACCACCAGCUAAGGUCCCAAAAUAUAUGUUAAGUGGAAAAGGAUGUGGCGUUGCCCAGACAACUAGGAUGUUGGCUUAGAAGCAGCCAUCAUUUAAAGAGUGCGUAAUAGCUCACUAGUCGAGUGACACUGCGCCGAAAAUGUACCGGGGCUAAACAUAUUACCGAAGCUGUGGAUUGUCCUUUGGACAAUGGUAGGAGAGCGUUCUAAGGGCGUUGAAGCAUGAUCGUAAGGACAUGUGGAGCGCUUAGAAGUGAGAAUGCCGGUGUGAGUAGCGAAAGACGGGUGAGAAUCCCGUCCACCGAUUGACUAAGGUUUCCAGAGGAAGGCU